UACGUAGGGGCGAGCGUUGUCCGGAUUUAUUGGGCGUAAAGAGCGUGUAGGCGGCUCGGUAAGUCGGCUGUGAAAGUCCAGGGCUCAACCCUGGGAUGCCCGUCGAUACUGCCGGACUAGAGUUCGGAAGAGGCGAGUGGAAUCCCGGUGUAGCGGUGAAAUGACGCAGAUAUCGGGAGGAACACCUAUGGCGAAGGCAGCUCGCUGGACGUUACUGACGCUGAGACGCGAAAGCGUGGGGAGCAAACAGG
rnacentral:rRNA from 1 species